GAUGAACGCUGGCGGCGUGCCUAAUACAUGCAAGUCGAGCGAACAGACGAGGAGCUUGCUCCUCUGACGUUAGCGGCGGACGGGUGAGUAACACGUGGAUAACCUACCUAUAAGACUGGGAUAACUUCGGGAAACCGGAGCUAAUACCGGAUAACAUGUUGAACCGCAUGGUUCAACAGUGAAAGACGGUCUUGCUGUCACUUAUAGAUGGAUCCGCGCCGCAUUAGCUAGUUGGUAAGGUAACGGCUUACCAAGGCAACGAUGCGUAGCCGACCUGAGAGCGUGAUCGGCCACACUGGAACUGAGACACGGUCCAGACUCCUACGGGAGGCAGCAGUAGGGAAUCUUCCGCAAUGGGCGAAAGCCUGACGGAGCAACGCCGCGUGAGUGAAGAAGGUCUUCGGAUCGUAAAACUCUGUUAUUAGGGAAGAACAAAUGUGUAAGUAACUAUGCACGUCUUGACGGUACCUAAUCAGAAAGCCACGGCUAACUACGUG
rnacentral:rRNA from 1 species